GGCGGACGGGUGAGUAAUACAUAGGAAUCUGCCCAGUAGUGGGGGACAACCUGGGGAAACCCAGGCUAAUACCGCAUACGCCCUUCGGGGGAAAGAUUUAUCGCUAUUGGAUGAGCCUAUGUCAGAUUAGCUUGUUGGUGGGGUAAUGGCCUACCAAGGCGACGAUCUGUAGCUGGUCUGAGAGGACGAUCAGCCACACUGGGACUGAGACACGGCCCAGACUCCUACGGGAGGCAGCAGUGGGGAAUAUUGGACAAUGGGCGAAAGCCUGAUCCAGCAAUGCCGCGUGUGUGAAGAAGGCCUGCUGGUUGUAAAGCACUUUCAGUAGGGAAGAUAAUGACGGUACCUACAGAAGAAGCACCGGCUAACUCUGUGCCAGCAGCCGCGGUAAUACAGAGGGUGCAAGCGUUAAUCGGAAUUACUGGGCGUAAAGCGCAC
rnacentral:rRNA from 1 species